AGCUGUCAGUCAAGGUGCUUUAUCUGCAUCGGGGACCCCGGUGACUUACGAGAGUGCCCUGUGAUGUUUCUGGAAUGCUUCUGGGAAGUGACAACCCGACAUCCAAGGCUGCUGAUUAUCCCUUUUGCUUUCAAAGUGGAUUCUCAAACUCAUUGCUGCGACCCUCUGAAGUCAGACUGCAAAAUGCUUUUCAAAUGAAGGAACCCAACUCUCAUUUUUUUACCUUCCAAGGCAUCGAACCUCCUACCGUUUUAGAUCGCCAGCAUCGGCAGUAGCAAACAUUUGGAGUCCUCAGGAAGGGCCGGAUGGUCAGAUAACCCAACAGAGCCAAAAUCCCCAGUAAGGGCAGGAGCCGCAAC